AUAGGUGUAUAGUAGAUGAAGACACAUAUAGUAUAUAUGAUGGAAUAAACUAGAUCAUAUCUGUGUAGAGCUUUUAAAACUUACUUCAAACAUUCCAUUUUGUGCAUAAGACAAAGUCAUAAGAAUCACUUCAUGAAAUUCACCAUCUUACUCAUCAACAUAGAAAAUAAACUUAUUGCAUAUAGGUGUAAUAACCCGCACCUCGAACGUGUUUUGACUGUCACAUAGAGUAUAUGACUAAAUUUACUUCAAUGAACUAAAAGAAGUUUGGAUGAAAGGGAUCGAGGGUGGAAAAAAUGAGGAAGAAUUAAGGGGAAAAAAACAACUGGUGCAACCUGAACAGGUGCAGCGCCAGAACAUCUACCAUGACACUUUGG
rnacentral:lncRNA from 1 species